GUUUUACCCUACUGACAAAGUAGAUACUGCGACAGUAGUCGAAGUUAGUACGAGAGGAACACUUCGUCCAGAUACUUGGUUAAUGCCGUUGUCUGAAAAGACAGUACGGCGAAGCUACCAUCUGCUGGAUUACGGCUGAACGCCUCUAAGCCGGAAUCCAUGCUGGAUAAGCAGUGUUGUACACCGUGCUCAAUGCUACAAGAAAAAGGCUAGGUCAGGCUUCGGCCUGACCAAAAUUCAAGCUGCUAUACCUCUGGCUGCAUUGACUUGUGGUCAGAGUGUAUGGUGAUCAUAGCAAUUGCAAGUAUUGGGCUCGAUAAAUCCUUUGAAGACGACUUAAUUGCAUCCGGGUAUUGUAAGUGUUGAGAGUAGGCUUAGUCUUACGAUCCACUGAGAUUCAUCCCGUGUUGCGCCGAUUUGU
rfam:Perkinsus marinus ATCC 50983 gcontig_1104296786154, whole genome shotgun sequence.